CAGCACCUCAAGUGGUCAGGAUGAUUAUUGGGCCAAAAGCAUCCGUAGCCGGCGCUGUAAGUUUUCGGUUAAAUCUGUACGCUCAACGUACAGGCUGCCGGGAAUACUGCAGCGCUAGGGAGUGGGAGAGGUAGACGGUACUCGGUAGGAAGGGGUAAAAUCCUUUGAUCUAUUGAUGACCACCUGUGGCGAAGGCGGUCUACCAGAACACGUCCGACGGUGAGGGAUGAAAGCUGGGGGAGCAAACCGGAUUAGAUACCCGAGUAGUCC
rnacentral:rRNA from 1 species